GACGAACGCUGGCGGCGUGCUUAACACAUGCAAGUCGAACGCUGAAGCUCAGCUUUUGUUGGGUGGAUGAGUGGCGAACGGGUGAGUAACACGUGAGUAACCUGCCCCCUUCUUUGGGAUAACGCCCGGAAACGGGUGCUAAUACUGGAUAUUCACUGGUCUUCGCAUGGGGGUUGGUGGAAAGGGUUUUUCUGGUGGGGGAUGGGCUCGCGGCCUAUCAGCUUGUUGGUGGGGUGAUGGCCUACCAAGGCUUUGACGGGUAGCCGGCCUGAGAGGGUGACCGGUCACAUUGGGACUGAGAUACGGCCCAGACUCCUACGGGAGGCAGCAGUGGGGAAUAUUGCACAAUGGGCGCAAGCCUGAUGCAGCGACGCCGCGUGAGGGAUGGAGGCCUUCGGGUUGUGAACCUCUUUCGCUCAUGGUCAAGCCGCAACAAUGGUUGUGGUGAGGGUAGUGGGUAAAGAAGCGCCGGUUAACUACGUGCCAGCAGCCGCGGUAAUACGUAGGGCGCGAGCGUUGUCCGGAAUUAUUGGGCGUAAAGGGCUUGUAGGCGGUUGGUCGCGUCUGCCGUGAAAUCCUCUGGCUUAACUGGGGGCGUGCGGGUGGGUACGGGCUGACUUGAGUGCGGUAGGGGAGACUGGAACUCCUGGUGUAGCGGUGGAAUGCGCGGAUAUCACGAAGAACACCGGUGGCGAAGGCGGGUCUCUGGGCCGUUACUGACGCUGAGGAGCGAAAGCGUGGGGAGCGAACAGG
rnacentral:rRNA from 1 species